UACGGAGGGGGCUAGCGUUGUUCGGAAUUACUGGGCGUAAAGCGCACGUAGGCGGCUUUGUAAGCCAGAUGUGAAAUCCCCGGGCUUAACCUGGGAAUGGCAUUUGGGACUGCAAGGCUUGAGUGCGGCAGAGGAGACUGGAAUUCCCGGUGUAGCAGUGAAAUGCGUAGAUAUCGGGAGGAAUACCGAUGGCGAAGGCAGGUCUCUGGGCUGACACUGACGCUCAUGCACGAAAGCGUGGGGAGCAAACAGG
rnacentral:rRNA from 1 species